AUAUAUAUAUUAUAAUAAACUAGUGUUAAAAACAAAAGAACAAAGUUUUGUAAUUUAUAGAUAACCUUGGAGAAAUCUCUCCACAGUUUAGCCAAAGGAAGCUUCCUCUCUCGUCAAUAACAUAAACGCCACUUUCUUUGUCGUCUUCAACGGCGUUUCUUGAAUCUUCGUUGCCCGCCACAUGAGUUCUCUCUCCGUCAUCUGUGUUGGCUGCAGCUGAAGCGGUGAGAGAGAGGGAAUAGGAGGAAUGAGAAGAUAGACGAAAGAGCUGGGGACUGAAAGAAACGUUUCUUAAUGUGGAAGUUGAGUCUGAAUACAAAAUGAAUUAAUGAUGGGGCUAAGGACAAGUAUCUGUUAUACAUUUUGUAACUUUCAUAUUUUACUUUUUUUCCCUUGAAAUUUCAAUAAAAAGACAAACAUAUUUGUGUU